CCCCAUCUCUCUCUCUCCAUCUUCAAACCUUCAAACUCUUGUUCUUCAUGUUCAUCACUAUUUCUAGCAACCUUCAAGUGGUGUGAAGAUUCAAGGGUGAUCUCAAGGUGUUCUCUAGUGAUUCAAGCUUCCCAUCAUCUUCACACUAGAAUUUCUACCCUAGCCUUGUGCUAGUAGUUGUCGUGUAGCGGACAGGGUUUGAGAUUCGAUUCAAGACGCACUACUGAGCUGUUGCUUAGGAUGUUCGUGACACACUAGGGCGGACCUAUGCCUUAGAGACUAAAAUAAAGAUGGAACUAGUUUAAUCAUGUGAUGAACACUUUGUUUCAGUUAAU